rnacentral:misc_RNA from 1 species
UGGUUCUGGCAUCGAUGAAGAACGCAGCGAAAUGCGAUAAGUAAUGUGAAUUGCAGAAUUCAGUGAAUCAUCGAAUCUUUGAACGCACCUUGCGCCCUUUGGCUAUUCCAGAGGGCAUGCCUGUUUGAGUAUCAUGAACACCUCAACUCUCACGGUUUGCCGUGAUGAGCUUGGACUUUGGGGGUCUUGCUGGCCUGUGGUCGGCUCCUCUUAAAUGGAUCAGCUUGCCAGUGUUUGGUGGCAUCACGGGUGUGAUAACUAUCUACGCUUGUGGUUUUCCACCAGGUAACCUUCAGUGAUGGAGGUUCGCUGGAGCUCACAAACGUCUCUCCUCAGCGAGGACAGCUUCUUGAACGUUUGAUCUCAAAUCAGGUAGGGCUACCCGCUGA